UACGUAGGGGGCUAGCGUUGUCCGGAAUCAUUGGGCGUAAAGAGCGUGUAGGCGGCCCGGUAAGUCCGCUGUAAAAGUCAAAGGCUCAACCUUUGAAUGUCAGUGGAUACUGCCGGGCUAGAGUCCGGAAGAGGCGAGUGGAACUCCUGGUGUAGCGGUGGAAUGCGUAGAUAUCUGCAGGAACACCCGUGGCGAAAGCGGCGCGCUGGACCACUACUGACGCUGAGGAACGAAAGCUAGGGGAGCAAACAGG
rnacentral:rRNA from 1 species